CUUUGCACGACGCUGCCGCUGCCGCCGCUGCCGCUGCUGCUGCGUCGACACGCGAGCCAGGGUUCCACGCCUCACCUUGGGUUGGAGCCACCGUCGGUGACCAACGUACACCGCCGGGCUCGACGCAUCCCUGGGCCUCGUCCGCGAGGUCGUCUCCGAGUACGACGCCGUAGCCCGGCUCAGGAUCGUCCUGUCCCGCCGUUGCUCGCAGCAGCUCCCUCCUCGUCACAGCCACCCUGGCCAUGUCUGCUCCCGAAAUCUUCAUGUAGCGGUUGCCGUUGCAGACCUGCAUUCCAGUCCCAUAAAAAAAAAACAAUGAUAAAAAACAAGUUGGAAAAAGUCACACGUACCGCAUGGAUUAUGUAACGCUUUCCAACACGAGUUAUCAGUACUGUUAGCUGUCAGCAUUAAAAUGUUUGCUUAUUUGAAAAAA